rnacentral:rRNA from 1 species
GUGGUAGUUAAGAUCUUGAAACCCAAAGGAUUUGGCGGUAUUUUAGUCUUUUCAGAGGAACCUGUCCCUUAAACGACGAUCCACGAUUUGAAUUACUUAUUUUUGUGUUCAGUUUGUAUACCUCCGUCAUAAGAAUAUCUUUUUAGGGUAAAUUUUCUUAUUAUUUUAAGAAUAGUAUGUCAGGUCAAGGUGCAGCUUAUGAGUAAGUGGAGUUGGGUUACAUUGUAUUUUAUAAGCGGAUUUAUUUGUUUGUUUAUGUAAUGAAGUUGGAUUUGAUUGUAAAUUUAUUUAAAUAAGUUUUUUGAUUUUAGCUCUAAAAUAAGCACACA